AUAGAUUUGCAGGGGAACUGCUUUUGCGGUUGAGAAGGCGUUGCCUGACCCUUUGAACCUGUCGGUCAAUACCGUGGUAGGAAGCAAAGUCGGCUGUUUU
rnacentral:ncRNA from 2 species